rnacentral:rRNA from 1 species
UACGGGGGGGGCAAGCGUUGUUCGGAAUUACUGGGCGUAAAGGGCUCGUAGGCGGCCAACUAAGUCAGACGUGAAAUCCCUCGGCUUAACCGGGGAACUGCGUCUGAUACUGGAUGGCUUGAGAUUGGGAGAGGGAUGCGGAAUUCCAGGUGUAGCGGUGAAAUGCGUAGAUAUCGUAAGGAAGACCAGUGGCGAAGGCGGGUCUCUGGACAGUUCCUGACGCUGAGGCACGAAGGCCAGGGGAGCAAACGGG